AGCCUGGGGGUAAAGGGAGAGGGGUGAGCUAAAAGCCCAGUGAGUAGAGCUAGUAAAACACGUUAACACUAUGCUCUAUGAAAUGCAUCAUAACACAAACAAUUCACAUAAGGGUUGGGUGAACUCGUCACCAAUUAGUCCAAGUUAACUCUGUGCCAGGCCUGUAGAAUGGGGUCCUGGUCUUUCCUGUCAGAACAUACAUUACUUACCAUUUUCCCAGGGCCUCCUCUGGCUCCUGGUCUUCA
rnacentral:lncRNA from 1 species